rnacentral:rRNA from 1 species
UACGUAGGUGGCGAGCGUUAUCCGGAAUGAUUGGGCGUAAAGGGUGCGUAGGCGGCUUAGUAAGUCAGAAGUGAAAGCCCGCAGCUCAACUGCGGGACUGCUUUUGAAACUGCCAGGCUAGAGUGUCGGAGAGGUAAGUGGAAUUCCUAGUGUAGCGGUGAAAUGCGUAGAUAUUAGGAGGAACACCAGUGGCGAAGGCGACUUUCUGGACUGUAACUGACGCUGAGGCACGAAAGUGUGGGGAGCAAACAGG